GACGAACGCUGGCGGCGUGCUUAACACAUGCAAGUCGAGCGGUAAGGCCCUUUCGGGGGUACGACGAGCGGCGAACGGGUGAGUAACACGUGGGUGACCUGCCCUUAGCUCUGGGAUAAGCCUGGGAAACUGGGUCUAAUACCGGAUAUGACUCCAUGACGCAUGUUGUGGGGUGGAAAGCCUUGUGCGGCUAGGGAUGGGCCCGCGGCCUAUCAGCUUGUUGGUGGGGUGGAUGGCCUACCAAGGCGACGACGGGUAGCCGGCCUGAGAGGGCGACCGGCCACACUGGGACGUGAGACACGGCCCAGACUCCUACGGGAGGCAGCAGUGGGGAAGUCUUGCGCAAUGGG
rnacentral:rRNA from 1 species